UGCCAAUCUUGGAAAUAGUGCUUUUUUGUUUCGUUUUUGCCUUCUUGAUCUAAAAUUGCUUUCGUUUUCAGAUGGUGGCCAGCAGAGAUCUGCAACCCCAGGUCUGUGCCACUGAACAUCCAGGGCCUUAAACAUGACUUGGGGGACUUCCCUGUAUUCUUCUUUGGUUCUCAUGACUACUACUGGGUACACCAGGGCAGAGUGUUCCCUUAUGUUGAAGGAGACAAAAGCUUUGCUGAGGGGCAGACUAGUAUUAACAAGACCUUCAAAAAGGCACUGGAAGAAGCUGCAAAACGUUUCCAGGAAUUGAAAGCACAAAGAGAAAGUAAAGAAGCCCUAGAGAUUGAAAAAAACUCAAG
rnacentral:sRNA from 1 species